AUUGAACGCUGGCGGCAGGCCUAACACAUGCAAGUCGAGCGGAUGAAGGGAGCUUGCUCCUGGAUUCAGCGGCGGACGGGUGAGUAAUGCCUAGGAAUCUGCCUGGUAGUGGGGGAUAACGUCCGGAAACGGGCGCUAAUACCGCAUACGUCCUGAGGGAGAAAGUGGGGGAUCUUCGGACCUCACGCUAUCAGAUGUGCCUAGGUCGGAUUAGCUAGUUGGUGGGGUAAAGGCCUACCAAGGCGACGAUCCGUAACUGGUCUGAGAGGAUGAUCAGUCAAACUGGAACUGAGACACGGUCCAGACUCCUACGGGAGGCAGCAGUGGGGAAUAUUGGACAAAGGGCGAAAGCCUGAUCCAGCCAUGCCGCGUGUGUGAAGAAGGUCUUCGGAUUGUAAAGCACUUUAAGUUGGGAGGAAGGGCAGUAAGUUAAUACCUUGCUGUUUUGACGUUACCAACAGAAUAAGCACCGGCUAACUUCGUG
rnacentral:rRNA from 1 species